AGCAGCCGCGGUAAUUCCAGCUCCAAUAGCGUAUAUUAAAGUUGUUGCAGUUAAAAAGCUCGUAGUUGAAUCUCGAGACCGGUCUACUGGUCGUGCUUUUGUACGUACUGGUUUUAUUGGUUUCUCCUUUCUGACGAACUAUAAUGCCAUUAAUUUGGUGUUAUGGGGAAUCAGGACUGUUACUUUGAAAAAAUUAGAGUGUUUAAAGCAGGCUCACGCUUGAAUACAUUAGCAUGGAAUAACGGAAUAGGACGUUUGAUUCUAUUUUGUUGGUUUCUAGGAUCGACGUAAUGAUUAAUAGGGAUAGUUGGGGGCAUUAGUAUUCAAUUGUCAGAGGUGAAAUUCUUGGAUUUAUUGAAGACUAACUACUGCGAAAGCAUUUGCCAAGGAUGUUUUCAUUAAUCAAGAACGAAAGUUAGGGGAUCGAAGACGAUCAGAUACCGUCGUAGUCUUAACCAUAAACUAUGCCGACUAGGGAUCGGAUGAUGUUAAUUUUUAAUGACUCAUUCGGCGC
rnacentral:rRNA from 1 species